CACACACCGCCCGUCAAGCCAUGGAAGCUGGGUGUACCUAAAGACGGUGCGCUAACCGCAAGGAGGCAGCCGGCCACGGUAGGGUCAGCGACUGGGGUG
rnacentral:rRNA from 1 species